ACACAAAGAACCCGGGCUCGCCGAGCGCGCGCGCACACCCUCAUGCCGCGCGGCGAACGUUCGUUGCCAGGUGCGGCAGCCCGCCCUGGGCGCCUCCUGCCUGCGGAAGAAGAGCAGGACAGACCCGACCCGACCCGCCUAGUCCUUUCCUUCACAGCAGCCUCCAAACUCCACCGCUCGCCUCUUCCGCCAGGCUCCUAGGAUGAGGCCCAGGGCUCCUGGAGCAGCCAGGUGCAAACCAGACCGGGCUCGCACUCCACUGCGUUGCCCUGGGCGAUCGUCCACGUUCUGGGAGACUCGGUAUGCCCCGGGAGGGUGGCCUGAGCUUGUGGUGUGAAGCCAGGUACAGAGCUCCAGAAUCCUGGCCUUGCCAUGGCUGUGUGACCCUGGGCAAGUGACUCAAUUUCUCUGCCUCAGUGUCCUCAUCUAUAAAAUGGAAAGGAAAAUAGUAGCGCUUGUCUCCUCCGGCUGUUAUGAAGAUCCAAGGUUAACAGCGUAGAGAACUCGGAACGCACCCGGCAUCUAGGAAGUGCCAAGCCAGUGUCAGCUAAUGUGACUAUUUUUAAAUGGAGAUGGGGAGUGUGCCAUUAUUCUUGUCCUUAUUUGAAUGAACGGGCCCUCAGGGACCAUUUUCCACUGCCCCGCCCUGGCAGCAUGAGAGGGAAACGCUGUGAGAACCCCGAACCCCAGCCUUCUCCUGUCCCUCUCUCUCUCUCUCUCUCUCUGCACCUGGGAGGCGGGGAGGAGAGAGCCGAUCCUUCCACCAUUUACACGGAGAAUGAAAGAAGAAAUACCGGCCAGGCGCGGUGGCUCAUGCCUGUAAUCCCAGCACUUUGGGAGGCCGAGGGGGCAGAUCACCUGAGGUCAGGAGUUCGAGACCAGCCUGGCCAACAUGGCGAAACUCCGUCUCUACUAAAAGUACAAAAAUUAGCCUGGCGUGGUGCCGGGUGCCUAUAAUCCCAGCUACUCAGGAGGCUGAGGCAGGAGAAUCCCUUGAACCCGGGAGGCGGAGGUUGCAGUGAGCCGAGAUCACGCCACUGCACUCCAGCCUGGGUGACAAGAAUGAGUCUCAAAAAAACAAAAAAGAAGAAGAAGAAGAAAUACCACACAGGUCCGACCAAGAGCUGCCCCCACUCAGGCCAGGAUCCCUGCCUGGAAGGGCUCUGCAGCCACUCUCCCUGUACAGCCCCAGGAUGCUAAGGAGCAUCCCGAAGUGACACUGGCUCUCCCUGGAGGCCCCUGCCAUCGGACUCCAACCUGACCUUCCAGUGGGUGCUCCUCAUACUGGCUCCAGCCAAGACAGACGAGGACCACUGGGCACAUGCCCUUCCUUGCCUUCCUGUCACCCUUCCCACCCUUCUCUGCGGGCCCCGGGUGGCCCCUUCCUCCAGGAAGCACCUGGGGAUCAGCAGUGCCUCUAGGGUCCCAGUGGCCCACGUGACAUCUGCUUCUGGCCACCUGAGCACUCUCCUUUGAGUUCAGGGUCACUGUACCCUUUUAUAGAAAUUCGCCGGGUAUGGUGGUGCAUGCCUAUGGUCCCAGCUACUCAGGAGGCUGAGGCAGGAGGAUCACUUGAGCCCGGGAGGUGAAGGCUGCGGUAAGCUAUGACUACACCACUGCACUCCAGCCUAGGUGCGAGAGCAAGACCCUGUCUCCAAACAACAACAACAACAACAAAAUCUGAAUGCCUGGUUUAUCUUGAAAUAUGGCAAAAUGGGGCCACCCAGGCCCAUUAACCCCCUGUCUACAAUGUCCUGGAGCUGAGGGGCAUUAGCCACCCUCUCACAUGGGCUCCCCAGGGUGCCACAGCUCCCUCCUAGCUAGUUUGCUCUUUUCUGUCACCUACCGGCCCUUGCAGGGAGCUGAAUUUGAGACCCAUGAUGCACUUUGUGCACCCUGCCCCCUCAAAGAUAACUGUGAGUACCAAGGGAAAUGGAAAGCUUUGGCAACAAGAAGGGAGCUUCAAGGAAAGCCAGGCCGAGGUUCCCCUCAGAACCAUAGACUAGCCUGAAAUUCCACUGGGACUAAUUCUUCUCAUUUCAAGAAUGAAAAUCGAUUGCUGGACAGAGCUCCCGGAGGGCCAAUUUUCAGGCUGUAGUCUACAGCCGUCCACGUAGAGGCAGUGAACGAAAUUUUUCAAAGCCUACUUUAUGAUUACUUUCUUUAGCAGCUCUCAACAGUAAAAUAAAAUUGAUCUAGGACUUUGAACAAAACUUCUCGCCCCUUUCUAGGGAAGAGUUUGUCUCGUCUAUCAGGCCACCAACAAGAGUUGUUGCAAUGCCUGUGGGAGGUGCAGCCCACGCUGGGCCACCUGGCCAGCUCAGGGAUCCUGCUGGAGAUCGAGGAUUGUCUGGUCGGCCUCUUACAACUCUCAGAACAUCAUCCCUGGGAGCAGCCCUGAAGAGACCAAGGGUCAGUGGCGGGGCUGCUGAGUGGCUGCCUCCCUGACCUGGCCAGCAUUUCCUGGGCACACUGCAGUGUGUCCACGUCCCUGGGCCUCAGCUCCAGUGUCUCAUCCCCAG
rnacentral:lncRNA from 1 species